rnacentral:lncRNA from 1 species
GUGUGUGUGCCUAUCAUGUCUACCUGCCAUGCUAGACUCUGGCAUUAGAGCUGGGGGCACAUCCAUCUCUGUUUAAGGAUGCCACUGUGGAGUAGGAGACACCUGUGGAUGAGAGAAUGUGCUGUGGAGCCCAGUGCAGGAUCUGACUCCGAGCCACUCCAUAAACCUUCCUCAAAGAAUACACGAAUACAGUAUGAAAAUUGCAUAGCUGUGGCAAAGAGUCCAUGAAGGGCCCACCAAGGCACAGGGGCCACUCCAUGCCAGGAAGGGGCAGCCACCCCAGGAGGAGUGUGCCAUCAGAGGCUUUCCCAGGAGAAGAGGCAGGCUGUCUCUCUGAAGGACAAGAUUUGUCAGAGUGAGGUGUGGAGCGGCUUGGGGAUGGGGACAGGUGUGUGGGGUCGGGGGGAGGUGAGCUGGUGGCAAGUUUCAGUUCUGGGGUGGGCGCAUGUUAGUAGCUGUGCUGUGCCUUUCUUAAUAAUCAUCUCCUAUCCCACAAGUGAACACAUGAUAAAUAAAUAAAAUGGAUACCCGCUUCAUCCAGG